GUGCACGCUGGCGGUAGGCCUAACACCUGCCAGUCGAACGGCAGCACCGUAAGAGCUUGCUCUUACGGGUGGCGAGUGGCGGACGGGUGAGGAAUACAUCGGAAUCUACUUUUUCGUGGGGGGUAACGUAGGGAAACUUACGCUAAUACCGCAUACGACCUACGGGUGAAAGCAGGGGAUCUUCGGACCUUGCGCGAUUGAAUGAGCCGAUGUCGGAUUAGCUAGUUGGCGGGGUAAAGGCCCACCAAGGCGACGAUCCGUAGCUGGUCUGAGAGGAUGAUCAGCCACACUGGAACUGAGACACGGUCCAGACUCCUACGGGAGGCAGCAGUGGGGAAUAUUGGACAAUGGGCGCAAGCCUGAUCCAGCCAUACCGCGUGGGUGAAGAAGGCCUUCGGGUUGUAAAGCCCUUUUGUUGGGAAAGAAAAGCAGCAGGUUAAUACCCCGCUGUUCUGACGGUACCCAAAGAAUAAGCACCGGCUAACUUCGUG
rnacentral:rRNA from 1 species